UUAAGCUUUAGCUUUUUACAGGCCAUAUAAAAAGUUAUUUUUUCAUUUUCUUAUGUACCAUCAGCCAUCUCCAGUUUUACAAUGUUGUUGGAAGCAAUGCAACAAUCUAAUGAGAUGAUCUGUUUGAGCAGCUGGUUUUAACCUCUGUGACAUUUCAUGUUCAGGGGUAUAAGUCUCUGCUGUCACUUCAGUACAUGGUGUAGAUUUUUUUUAUAUAUAUUUUUUGUUUUCUAUUCACUCCAUCUUUGAGGUUUUUUUCCUUCCUUUGGGUCAGACCUAGCAAGGAGGAAUUGUAACUAAACUGCCAUAUGAUGGAUUUUCUGUGUUGAAUCUGAAUUUUUCUCUUGUUUUCUGACAUCUCUCACAACUGGGAGAGUGUGCAUGAGGAGUGAGCCAAAGUGGAAUAAACUCUUCUCCCCCUUGAGAAUAGAAGUCUCUUUGGCAUCAUUGGUUCAAGGUCACCUGUAGUCCUGUUUCUCCAGCAUGUGUGUUCCUUUUCUCUGCAUUCCUUAGACACCUGAUACCUUGGAGGUGUUUUAAAGGGAUCAGAGAAGUUCAUUUCAGUCCAGCAGACAAUGGAGUCAAGGCAGCUGACUGCACACCCCAGAUCCCAGCACUCAUUCUUUCUUACCUGGAAGAAAUGAGCAGGAACCCACCAAUGACCAAUUGUCAUCAGAAACCUGGUUCAAGUUACAUCCAGACAAUGAGGGAGUCCUGUGGGUCACCAGUUUUGGCAGUGCCAGCAGGGGUGACUGAACAUAGCUCUGCUCUCUGCAGAAGUCCUGCAGCAUGCCCUGGUAUUUGUUGUUCAUACAGCACUCUGUGAAAUUUGGGGGCUGAAGAUGAAGCACCCUGUGUUGUGGUAUUGAAGUGCAACAUGUCAUUGUAAGCAAUAGCUCCUCACAAAUUCAAAAUGAGUUUGAUAGGCUGUGGCACUUGUCACAACAGCUGUGUUUUUUUGUGAUGGUAGGCAUUUUAGGAUUUUUCCCUUAUUUUUUGGUAACUAUUGAAAGGCUUUGCACUGGCAGUGGAAAUAAAUACUCUCUGCAGGCUGCUCAAACAAGAUCUGAACACUGGGCAUUGAAUCAAUGUUCAGAACAACAAUUGUCUGCUUUUGUAAUUCAAUGCAAAAGGAAUAAAAGGGUUUUGGCCAGUAUUUGAGCAUAUUAUCAUCCUGAAGGCAAGACAAACUGUUAACUUGCCAGAGCCAUUUUCUGUUUGUGUGUUUGCCAGCAGUGCAAAAGGGGAGAGAGUGGAGGAGAAAAUCAAAAGAAUAAAGAAAGACUGACUUUAACUUUGUGACAGUUGUUUCAAACUUCUUACUUUGGCCCAAAUGAGGUUUCCUUCUCUAUCCUUCAUCCCAUCUGUAAUUUUGCAGUUGUUUAUGGAUGCACAGUUUGAGGUAAGUAGUAUAGCAAGUCAAACAGCUACAUCUGAGUAGGAGGCAGUUAUGGCUCUAUCUUCCCUGUUCCUCAGACAACACUGACAAGGAAUAUUUGCUGCAUAUUUUUAGCAAGAAUUCUCUGUAGAGCAUUAUCUCAAACAUCUCUCAGUGCACUGUGUGAGCAGUUGGGUGGUGAAAUCUGUUCCAUGUAGCUGCAAUACACAGUGCAUGUGGCUGAAUCCAGAGGAGAAAGGGAUGGGAUUUAUAUAUAUAUAUUUUUUAAAGCCCCACUUUUUGCUUUUCACAGCACUUACCACAGCCCACUGUACAUGAGGAGGAUUAAAUCAGCAGUUACAUGAGUAAUACCACUAGAUAAAAACAACUGGGCAGCAUUCAUGCCUUUUGCUCUCAGUUGUUAAAUAAGGUGGCAGUCCAAGGUUUUGCAGGACUCCUGUUUGCCCCAAGCACACCCAGAGGCUGGCUGUGCUCACUGGUUGUACUUGCAUGGUUUCCUGGCGUGUGCUGUGCCUGGAAUGGCACACUGGUGGUGGCAGCUUGAGUUCUGAGUGUGCAGUUGGGGAUGAAUUUCUGUGCUAAGAUUCCUUGUUGAGGUAUUUGCUGUUAGUUGACUUUAAAUGCAACACUCUAAUGACUCUUUCUUCUUGUUCCUAAUAGGACAGCAUUCAGCAGGUACUCUGGAUUUAGUGAAUUAUGUUGGUUGUUUUUACCUUUUGUCUUCAAGAAUUUUUGUGGGCUUGAAAGAAUUAAUUACUUGGAGACAUUUGGCUAAAAAUUUUGAUUAUUUAACUGCAGUAGUAGAGUUGCAAGGCAUUUAUCACCCAUAUCCUAAACCUUCAAGACAGAGCUGGAUAUUUUACUGCAUUGUAUGUGAUAUCACAAAACUUACACCAUUCCAUCCCAGACCACUGUGAAAACAUCAGUGACUUUCAAAUACCUUUUUGGUCUGGAGAAGUGACAUGGCACAAAGUGCUAGGGUUUCUUUUGAACUAAUUGCUUGAUAUUCAAAGUCUUCCACGAAGGUGAUGAACAGUCCAAGUCUGACAGCUUUGGCUGUGUUUGCUAAAACUGUCUCUAAAUGUCCCAGCAGCACCAGGUUUGCUAUAAUUAUAUGAUGGCCUUGGUAGAUGUAACACUUUUUUUAAACUGUAAAUAAAAAUUCUCAUCUUCUAGAAGUGGCAAGGGCUCAACAUUGUGUUGAGAGGGUAACUUUAAUGCUGCUACUACUCUAUGGGGAGGGGUUUUUAAUGUCUAGAAUGUCCUAUGUCAUACAGGAAAUUAAGAGUGACAUAUUCUUCCCAUAUGCACUUUACAAACAGUGAGGAGGGGACUGGAGGCACAGGGGUGCAGAACAUCCCAAAGGCUUUGCCCAAAGCAAGCCAAAGGUUCCACUGUUUCUCCUCCUUGCUCUACCCUCAGCAGUGCAAAGGGACCUGGGAGGACCAGGCACACUCCUGUGACAGUGUCACAUCUGGCAUGGGACAAACUGCUCUCUCUUGAUGCCACAGUUCAUCCUCUGUGGCAGAGAGCUGACUCCCCUUCUGUGUGGUAUUAUAAGGGUACAUUCAUUAAUGUUUCUAAAGCAUUCAGAGCAGUGGAGCCUGUGCAGUGUGAAGUGACUUUUUCUGUUCUCUAGUGACUGUCAUUUGUAUAGUAGAUAUGCUGUGCUUCAGAAGGAAAAACAAGUCAAUAACAAAUCCUUUAGGGUUUAUGAUUUAAUAAUUUCAUGGCUAAUAGACUAAUUCUGCUGUGCCUUCAUUAUGAUUUUUUUUUUACUUGGUUCAUUUUUUAUAACCUGGCAGAAAGAUUUAAUUUUAGAAGUUUCAGUUGACAAAGACAUGCUGGUGCUAGAUAUGAAUUUCAGAUCAUUGUCAUUGUACUCUAUUUUUAAAUUCAAGUGCCUGCCAACUGAAAGAGCACCCUGUGUCUGUGCUGGGUGUUCUGCAUCCGUGCUACAAAGCUGGGUUCUUCCAAGCUUCAGCACAAGACCAGCCAGUUUACUUUUAUAUUUUUUCCUGUUUAAUGGAGGGAAAUGUUCUAGCACCUUUUCAUUAUCACAGAACUAAAACUGGUCAUGAAAACAAUCCCCCUCCCUCCAGAGGCCUGCACAGGCAUUGGCCAUUGUUAAGAUGCUUGCCUAUCAACAACCACUUGAGAAAGAAUUUUAAAUGGUUUUGUGACGUCAAGGAGGCACAAGAAAACAUAGUCUGGUGCCAAAUUGCCUCCAUCAUUGAAAGCACACAGUAAGAAAUAGAUAACACAGAAAUAAAUCUUUUGUGCUGUAGCUAUCUCAUGAUAUGCUCUAGCGACUCCAGAAAGUGAGCUUGUCUGGUAUAGGAAUAGCUGAAGAAGAUGAACUUUGAGAGCCUCAUUUUCUAAUUUAUGAUUAAUGAAAAGCUGGCCUGAUCAGUCUGACUUCCUGCUGUCUGCACACAAUGUCUGCGGGGAGCUUGGACCUCGCGGAGGGAACCGCCCUGACCAAGUUUCAGCCUACAAAAGUGAACACUUUAAGUACGGUGGACAAAAAGCUCUAUCUCUUGAAUGAAAAGAUGGACAAACUGUUGCAUUUCCAUGAAGACCUGUCAGGCAAACUGCAGCGAGUUGACAGAGGCAUUGCUGAUGUAGAAAGUGGCAUUAACAAGCUCCCAGUAUCCCGAGCAGCUCCUGAUGACACGGAUGCAAAGCAGAAAGGCCUGGAGGUACCGGACAGUGCUGCCCAGGCUGACGUCCAGAGCAUGUGCUCAGAAGUGUUGAAUUUGAUGAAAGCUGCCCAGCUAGAUGCCUCCAAGCAUAAGGAGAGGCUGGCAAAGAUAGAGAAAAGGGUUGAUACCCUGGAUAAAGUUAUUACAUUUGUGGGAGAAGUAUUAAAAAAUUCUAAAGUAGUGGAUUUCAUUCUCAAAGGCAUUGUGCCCUGGAAGAAGGGGAGUCUGCUGGAAAUCCCUGUUGAGGAUUGUGCCAGAAUAAUGUUCACCCUGGUCAUUGUUGCAGGUUUGCUUAGAGCUGUAAUAAAAAGGGCCAAAGACAAGUCUGAGGAGAGUGGUGCAAAACCUAAGCAUGUGCUUAGUAACAGAGGAACCCAGACUGAAAGCAAGAAGCCUCUGGAAGAGACAAAAAGCGUGAAGAAGCUGGAUGAAAACAAGGGAGCAUGUGAGAAGGUGAAUACUUCCAGUGCUGUAGCCCACAAAGCUGACUCCAAACCCCAGAUUAAAGACAGGACAGCACAGCAGCAAGGGGUAGAAGGUGCUGGCAAAACACAGAGCUCUAAGAGCUGUCCACAGCAAAAGGACAUCGAUGUCAAAGCUUUGAAUCAACACAACGGUCUUCCCUUGGUACAUCAGGAUCAUGUGGGCAACCAAAAUGCUCCUGCUAAAGCACAGAACGUGGACAGAGCCCCACACCUUGAUGAGUGCCACAGGCAGCUUGUUCAUCAGAAACCUGGGAAGAAUGAAAACAAACCUCCAGCACCGAGUGCGGCCUCCCGGGAAGCCGUGCCCUCCACAUCCCGGGCUAUAUCUGACACGGGGUGUGAAGUGACACAUACCAGGAUAUCCAUCAGUGUGCAUAUGACUGACAUGAAAGAAAAGAUUGAGAUGGCCAAGGAGGGAAACGUAAGUGACAGCAGAGGUAAAAGUCCCAAGUCCACACCAUCAGACUUGAAAGGAGCCAAGCAGGGGCCUGACAAAUUAAAACUUCAACAGAGUCCUAAAAACAUCAGCUCCAAGCCAAAUUCAGAAGUUAAAGGGGACAAUAAGCAAAAUGAACUUGCAUCUCAAACAGGGAAGCAACAGCCAUCCCUGAGAAAGCCCAAACCAGGUGACAAACCUGAAGAGAAAUCAGAAUUAAAAUGCGAGCCCAUAACCUCACAGAAUACCCCUGCCAAGAAGCCUGUGAAAGAUGCAGGGGUAGAAGUGAAAAUCCAUCAAGAAACAGCAAAAGUGAAAAAAUCCCCAACAGAUAGCAAGUCUGAGAGGAGGGAAUCUGAGACUGCAGGGGGAAGUGGACACAACACUCAGCAGAGUACAGGAGAGACAGGAGAGGCACCAGAGAAGACCAGGUCUCUGGAAGCUGGCAGAGCUCUUCCCACUCAAGGAGAAAUCAUCGAUGACAGCCCCUCUCCUCCAGCUCCUUUCGAGCACCGCAUCGUGAGUGUCAGGCAAGCAGAGGUGACCACCAGCUACUCCGUGUGUCGGCACGAGGUGCUGGGAGGGGGGCGUUUUGGGCAAGUCCACAAGUGCACAGAAAUAUCGACGGGGCUCAACCUGGCAGCCAAAAUCAUCAAAGUGAAAGGAGCCAAAGAGAAGGAGGAAGUAAAAAAUGAAAUUAACAUCAUGAAUCAGUUAAAUCACGUGAAUCUGAUCCAGCUUUAUGAUGCUUUUGAAGCCAAAAAUAACAUCACUUUGAUCAUGGAAUAUCUUGAUGGUGGAGAAUUAUUUGACCGGAUCACAGAUGAAAAUUACCAUCUGACGGAGCUGGAUGCCAUCCUGUUCACCAAACAGAUUUGUGAAGGAGUCCACUACUUGCACCAGCAUUACAUUCUCCACUUAGACCUGAAGCCUGAAAACAUCCUAUGUGUAAGUCACACAGGAAACCAGAUUAAAAUUAUUGACUUUGGAUUAGCAAGGCGGUACAAGCCUUGUGAGAAGCUGAAGGUGAAUUUUGGGACUCCGGAGUUCCUGGCUCCCGAAGUGGUGAACUACGACUUUGUUUCCUUCCCCACGGACAUGUGGAGCGUGGGUGUCAUCACGUACAUGCUGCUUAGUGGCCUGUCCCCUUUCCUGGGAGAGACUGAUGCAGAGACAAUGAAUUAUGUAGUCAAUUGCAGCUGGGAUUUUGAUGCAGAAGCAUUUGAACAACUCUCAGAGGAUGCCAAAGACUUUAUUUCCAGACUGCUUGUGAAGGAGAAAAGCUCAACUGAGCCACUGCAGAGCCACCAGCCGUCCUGCAUCCCACUCACCCCUCCUGCUGGAGAGUGCAGGAUGCUAUCGGGAUCCCAGGCUCGGGGAUGAGCAGCAUUUGCACUCGUGUCCAUUCAUUUGAGGUGGUUUCUUUAUGGCUAACAAGGAGGAGCGCUGAGGAGGUGAGCAGAGGGGGCUGGCUGGGUUUUCACGGCAGAUCCCUCCCUGCAGCUGCCGGAUGAGCGCGACGCAGUGUCUGAAGCACGAGUGGCUCAACAACCUCCCUGCCAAGGCCCAGAAGUCAAAUUUCCGCCUGAAAUCCCAGCUGCUGCUGCAGAGUUACAUGGCCCACAGGAAGUGGAAGAAACACUUCUAUGUGGUGGCUGCUGCUAACAGGCUGAAGAGAUUUCAGAGUAUGUCUGUCAAGCUUGCGUGAGCUUGUGUGAAACCUCCACCACUCCUGGAGAUGGACAUGAAGCCAUGGAAGGAGGACUCAGUGUCUUCAGACAUUUCUAUCCCUGUUUUAUAACAUGAGGUUUUGGGACUGUCUUCCUCAAUUAUUCUGUGUGUUAGUACUGCAGUUCCAGAAGUGCCUUAAGGAAGAGGCACAAGAUUUCUGAAAGCAGAAGCUAUUUUGUUUGUUUUUACAAGUUUUUAGUUGUUCUAUACAGUGCUGGAAAAACGUGGCUGUUACUGGGGCUGACUUCUUGCUGAAGGCUUUGAUUCUGCAGAGUAUUGUUGGUGUGUUUAUAGCAGAAAACCCCUGGCAGUUUUCUAGUCUCUCCCAGCAAGCACAGGAUCUUGAAAGACUCUUCCUGACUGAUGUAUGUGUGUUACCAGUUUAGAGAAUGGCCACACAGUGGCACAAACUUGUCCCUCAGGUGUUUGUUACUUAAAACAGAAGAUACAGACAUCAUUUUCUUUCCAAAACGUAAUUUCCCCGCAACAUGAAGAUGCUCCGGUGCAACUCCAGCUCGGAUGGUUUUGGUUUGUUGUUUUGGGUUUUAUUAUUCUACUCUCUCCUUUAAAAAACAGUCACUGCAUAGUUAGGAACUAUGAGGAACCCUGGUUUGAAGUAACUUAAAUCAGUCCAUUGCUGCUGUUUCUAAGGGCAAGUUGAAUUAGCUGAACUGAUUGAACUUCUGGAAGGAGAUGUGUGAAAUUGCCAUGAAUACAAAUCACCUAAUGACUGUUGGGUCUAUGCAAAAAGAUCUCAUGGUGUAGAGAAAAGAGGAGAAUUCUGGAGUUUUUAUGUUUUUAAAACUUUUAAGUGCUUUUCUUUGUCCAUGACUGCAGCACUUAAGUUGCUAAGUUUUAGUCUGAGGAUUUGUUUCUCCUCUCUGGGAAUUUUAAUGCAGUCUGAGGAGCUGGUAUAGUGUGACAUGCAAAACAGGUUUCAUUUCUAAUAGGUUCAGUGACAGUGAAACAAAGUGUUGCCAGACUCUGCCUUUACUCCAGUUAGGAGGUUGAAGCCCUUUUUUCCCCCCUCACUUUGCUCUUGAACAUUAAACUUUUUCUUCACAAUAUUAACUUAUUUUGGAUUUUAAACUCUUAUGUGUAGAGUUGGAGUCACAAUCUUUCAGAUAAAAGUACAACACUAUUUAUUAAACCUGUGGUUUCCUGUUCUGGA